rnacentral:rRNA from 1 species
GCGGGGCGAGCGUUAUCACNGGAGCUUGNUCCUGGCUUCAGCGGCGNAUGGGUGAGUAAUGCCUAGGAAUCUGCCUGGUAGUGGGGGAUAACGUCCGGAAACGGGCGCUAAUACCGCAUACGUCCUGAGGGAGAAAGUGGGGGAUCUUCGGACCUCACGCUAUCAGAUGAGCCUAGGUCGGAUUAGCUAGUUGGUGGGGUAAAGGCCUACCAAGGCGACGAUCCGUAACUGGUCUGAGAGGAUGAUCAGUCACACUGGAACUGAGANACGGUCCAGACUCCUACGGGAGGCAGCAGUGGGGAAUAUUGGACAAUGGGCGAAAGCCUGAUCCAGCCAUGCCGCGUGUGUGAAGAAGGUCUUCGGAUUGUAAAGCACUUUAAGUUGGGAGGAAGGGCAGUAAGUUAAUACCUUGCUGUUUUGACGUUACCAACAGAAUAAGCACCGGCUAACUUCGUGCCAGCAGCCGCGGUAAUACGAAGGGUGCAAGCGUUAAUCGGAAUUACUGGGGCGUAAAGCGCGCGUA